rnacentral:rRNA from 1 species
GACGAACGCUGGCGGCGUGCUUAACACAUGCAAGUCGAACGGAAAGGCCCUGCUUGCAGGGUACUCGAGUGGCGAACGGGUGAGUAACACGUGGGUGAUCUGCCCUGCACUUCGGGAUAAGCUUGGGAAACUGGGUCUAAUACCGGAUAGGAGCCAUCUUUAGUGUGGUGGUUGGAAAGUUUUUUCGGUGUAGGAUGAGCUCGCGGCCUAUCAGCUUGUUGGUGGGGUAAUGGCCUACCAAGGCGGCGACGGGUAGCCGGCCUGAGAGGGUGUACGGCCACAUUGGGACUGAGAUACGGCCCAGACUCCUACGGGGGGCAGCAGUGGGGAAUAUUGCACAAUGGGCGCAAGCCUGAUGCAGCGACGCCGCGUGGGGGAUGAAGGCCUUCGGGUUGUAAACUCCUUUCGCUAGGGACGAAGCUUUGUUGUGACGGUACCUAGAUAAGAAGCACCGGCUAACUACGUG